UUCUGUUUUUUUGGAACAUCGUCUAUAUGCUUCUAUGUUGCUAUAUACCAUUUCAAAUCAUCAAAAUUUUGCUAUCCUCUCUCAUUACACAGAAAAGUCACAUUUGAAGAGGUUGUGCAAUUUAUCAACAGUACUAGACUCAGGACUGGAAUGCAGAUUUGUCCAACUACAGAUAAUUAACUGUCCUAUUCUUCACUCUGCCUGGACUGAGAUGCUGUGUAGUUGGCAAUGAGCUCAUCACAACUACCUGCCCUGGGCAGGUCAGAAUUGCAAAGAAAAAGCUUUGUUUCAAGCAGAACAGAUGAUGAGGUGAAGAGGAAACAGAAGGACAGAAAAUGUGAUCUACUUGCCCAAGUUCCCAUCAAAAUCAAGUCUGAGAAAGUAUUACUCCAGAAUCCCUACAGUAAACUAUCUCAGUCUUAGACUGCAAGAUCACUAAAAGACCAGAACUUCUGCCCAAAACACUGCAGGCCAAUCUGCCUUCUCUCCAGUUGAACUGAACCAAGCUCUCUUAUGCCUCACUAAGCCAAGACCCUGCCUCUCAAAGUCAGCCGCAAGCAAAAACAGGAUACUGAGAUCAUGACCUGAGCUGAAAUCAAGAGUUGGACACUCCACCGACCGAGCUAUCAGAUCACGGCAAUCCAUUGAAGUUUUCUACACCAAAAAAGUUGCCCUGCCAUGCUGAACUUUGAGAAGAUGAUGAGGUUCACCUGAACCUGGGUGUUCACUGCAGAAAUCUGCAUGUUUUUAUUGGAUACACAAAAGAGCUCUUUGGCUGCAUUCAUGUUUCACUAGAGAUUCUUAGAUCCCCUUUCCUUUUCCUACUCCACAGUAGGACUGACUUUCCAUGGAUGAAGCAGGGUCUAGGGCCUGACUGUAGCCUGGUCUCAUAUGAAUGUGAAGAAAUGGGGUAGGUGGGUGGAAGUGUGGUUUUGUGUCCCCUUCUUCAACAUCUCCUUUACUAGAAGGAGAUUUUACGCAUCUUAUUAUGAAAUCUAGAGUUUUUGUUUGUGUUUUGCUUUUACCGUGUUUCUCCCUAACCUGAAACGUGUUCUUUAUCCUUUGCUUAUCCAAACCAUAGUCAUCCAUCAAGACUCUCACAUUCUUAUUCUUCUGUGUAUCUUCCUUGUCUACUCAAUCGCUCACUCAUUUCAUUCUCUUGGACUCCAAAGGGCUUAACUCUCCCACGCAAUUUAACUCCUUGACCCUCACAGUCUAUUACACAUUUCUAAAGCCGUUUCACUUUGUAAGCAACUUAAGACUUUGCACAAUCUUCCAUGGCAGGGACCCUAACACACAUUUCUAUUGAGACACUGUGUAUUAUGGUAGUUAAGAGCGCAAUGGACUCUGACAUUGGACUUCUUUGAUUAAGUUCUAGGCUUUAGUACUUGUUGGCUGUGAGACUUGCUUAAGAAACUUACCUGCUCCAAAACCUGAUACCUUGCCUGUAAAAGGCAGAUAAUGAAAUUACUACCUAUAUUGUGAAGAUCCCUGUAAAGUUCUUAGGGCAGCAUCAGGCACAAAAUAAGAGUUCAAAGAAAAAUUCCAAUGCUAUUAUUAGAAUAACGAAAAUCAUAAUUAUUUUAUUAUGCUCACAGAGCGUAGCAACGUCCUGGGUCAUAUAACAUUUAUAAAAGGUGGAAGUUAUUCUCUCAGAGGCAAUUGAUCCCUUCCACCACAAAGUAUGGUUAAAUUCAACUUUUCAAAACUCCAUCUCCUUGUAUUUAUUAAAAUAAUAGUAUUUUAAAUUCCUCUUAGGUUUCUUCUAUACCCAUCCACUACUGGGCAAUGAAGUAUGUUUGCAUACAUGGAGGAGAAGUAAGGACGUCAUGAACAGUAGCUGUUCUUCACUGAUGUUUACCUGAAUCAAGUUUAUAUGAUUGGAAUAUUUUCUUUAGAAUAAACCAAAGUAUGUAACUGCUUAUCAGCAACCAUAGCUAAUAACUUAUAAAUUCAAAGUUAUUAAACUUUAUGUUUUGGAGGUAUACACCAUUAAACUGUGCCCAUACAAGAGAAAUCUCUAGUUCUAACAACCAAAAGAACCUGGGUUCUACUUGAUUGAAAACAGGAAGCUUUUAUGAAAAAAAAAAGUUAAUAUAAGUUGAAGUUCAAGUACUUCCCAAUCUUUUUGUCCCCAUACUCCAACAGGUUCCAAUUCUAUCAAGAGUUACAACAGAUAAGGACAGCUGAGUAUGAGGGAUGAAAUUACUGGUGUCUUUUAGCCUGAUGGUUUUGCUCAGGUAAAUAUCAAGUAUGCUCAUCAGAUCACAGAUGAAAUGGCUUCACUUCCUUUGGAACAUAUUUCAAACAUAAGAACAAAAUUAUUUCAUCACAAGGACUCAUUGUGUUUUUGCUUUAGGUAGCCUCUCUCUGGUAGCCUGAUUUUUUUUUCUUCUCUCUUCCUGUAAUGAUCAAAUAAAUCACCGCUGUAUUAAAAACACCUAAGACAGUUAAAUAAAAAUGAGCAAGGU